rnacentral:tRNA from 1 species
AAUAAUGUGGCAGAAAAAUGCACCAAGUUUAAGCCUUGUAUAUGGAGCUAAAGUUCCCGUUGUUA